rnacentral:rRNA from 1 species
GGCGGCGUGCCUAAUACAUGCAAGUCGAGCGCGAGAUUGAGGAGCUUGCUCCUCAUGAUCGAGCGGCGGACGGGUGAGUAACACGUAGGCAACCUACCCUUGAGAUUGGGAUAACUACCGGAAACGGUAGCUAAUACCGGAUACGACUUUCCUGCAUAAGCAGUUAAGUUAAAAGGCGGAUUUAUCUGCCGCUCAUGGAUGGGCCUGCGGUGCAUUAGCUAGUUGGUGAGAUAGUGGCUCACCAAGGCGACGAUGCAUAGCCGACCUGAGAGGGUGAUCGGCCACACUGGGACUGAGACACGGCCCAGACUCCUACGGGAGGCAGCAGUAGGGAAUCUUCCGCAAUGGACGCAAGCCUGACGGAGCAACGCCGCGUGAGUGAUGAAGGGUUUCGGCUCGUAAAACUCUGUUGUUAAGGAAGAACACUUGAGGUAGUAACUGGCCUUGAGAUGACGGUACUUAACCAGAAAGCCACGGCUAACUACGUG